AGAGUUUGAUCCUGGCUCAGAUUGAACGCUGGCGGCAUGCCUUACACAUGCAAGUCGAACGGCAGCACGGGUGCUUGCACCUGGUGGCGAGUGGCGAACGGGUGAGUAAUAUAUCGGAACGUGCCCUAGAGUGGGGGAUAACGUAGCGAAAGUUACGCUAAUACCGCAUACGAUCUACGGAUGAAAGUGGGGGAUCGCAAGACCUCAUGCUCAUGGAGCGGCCGAUAUCUGAUUAGCUAGUUGGUGGGGUAAAAGCCUACCAAGGCGACGAUCAGUAGCUGGUCUGAGAGGACGACCAGCCACACUGGGACUGAGACACGGCCCAGACUCCUACGGGAGGCAGCAGUGGGGAAUUUUGGACAAUGGGGGCAACCCUGAUCCAGCAAUGCCGCGUGUGUGAAGAAGGCCUUCGGGUUGUAAAGCACUUUUGUCAGGAACGAAACGGUGGAGGCUAAUACCUUCUGCUAAUGACGGUACCUGAAGAAUAAGCACCGGCUAACUACGUGCCAGCAGCCGCGGUAAUACGUAGGGUGCGAGCGUUAAUNCGAAUUACUGGGCGUAAAGCGUGC
rnacentral:rRNA from 1 species